UACGAAGGGGGCUAGCGUUGCUCGGAAUCACUGGGCGUAAAGCGCACGUAGGCGGAUUGCUAAGUCAGGGGUGAAAUCCUGGAGCUCAACUCCAGAACUGCCUUUGAUACUGGCGAUCUCGAGUCCGGGAGAGGUGAGUGGAACUGCGAGUGUAGAGGUGAAAUUCGUAGAUAUUCGCAAGAACACCAGUGGCGAAGGCGGCUCACUGGCCCGAUACUGACGCUGAGGCACGAAAGCGUGGGGAGCGAACGGG
rnacentral:rRNA from 1 species